UACGAAGGGGGCUAGCGUUGUUCGGAAUUACUGGGCGUAAAGCGCGCGUAGGCGGACAUUUAAGUCAGGGGUGAAAUGCCGGGGCUCAACCUCGGAACUGCCUUUGAUACUGGGUGUCUAGAGUUCGGGAGAGGUGAGUGGAAUUCCGAGUGUAGAGGUGAAAUUCGUAGAUAUUCGGAGGAACACCAGAAGCGAAGGCGGCUCACUGGCCCGAUACUGACGCUGAGGCGCGAAAGCGUGGGGAGCAAACAGG
rnacentral:rRNA from 1 species